rnacentral:rRNA from 1 species
UGCUUACAAGAAGAUAGAGCCCGUUAAUGGGUGAUAUCGUGCUUUUUGUAGAAAGAGCCGGCGAGUUACUAUAACGUGCGAGGUUAACCAGAAUAUGGGGAGCCGUAGUGAAAGCGAGCCUUAAUAGGGCGUUUAGUACGUUGUAGUAGACACGAAACCGGGUGAUCUAGCCAUGAGCAGGUUGAAGUUGAGGUAAUACUCAAUGGAGGACCGAACCUACGUUCGUUGAAAAGACCGAGGAUGACUUGUGGCUAGCGGUGAAAUUCCAAUCGAACCCGGAGAUAGCUAGUUCUCCCCGAUAUAUCUUUAAGGAUAGCGUCGCAAUUAAAACUAUGGAGGUAGAGCACUGAAUCUAUGAUGGCGGCACCUAGCUGUACUGAAUAGAAUUAAACUCCGAAUGCCAUAGUCCAAUUAUGCGGCAGUCAGAACAUGGGUGAUAAGGUCCAUGCUCGUGAGGGAAACAGCCCAGAUCGUCAGCUAAGGUCCCUAAAUGUAUACUAAGUGUGUAAGGAUGUGGAAUUGCACAGACAGCUAGGAUGUUGGCUCAGAAGCAGCCAUCAUUUAAAGAGUGCGUAACAGCUCACUAGUCGAGUGAUUCUGCGCCGAAAAUGUACCGGGGCUUAAGUAUACUACCGAAGCUACGGAUUGUGCGUAUGCACAGUGGUAGGGGAGCGUUCUAAGGGCGAUGAAGUUGGACCGUGAGGACCAGUGGAGCGCUUAGAAGUGAUUAUGCCGGCAUGAGUAACGUUUGAAGGUGAGAAUCCUUCAUGCUAUUUGACCAAGGUUUCCUGGGCAAGGUUCGUCCACCCAGGGUUAGUCAGGACCUAAGGCGAGGCCGAUAGGCGUAGUCGAUGGACAACAGGUUGAUAUUCCUGUACUGAUUAUUGAGUGAUGGAGUGACGGAGAAAGAUAGUGUAUCCCAGGCGUUGGUUGUCCUGGGCUAAGCGCAAAGGUGGUAGAGUUGGCAAAUCCGCUCUAUAUUCAACAUUGAAGCGUGAUGGGGAGUGAACGGUUCGCCUAGUAACGAAGUACAUGACUCUAUGCUUCCAAGAAAAGCUUCUAACUUAAUCAAUAAUUACCUGUACCUAGAACGAACACACGUGGUCAAGGAGAAAAUCCUAAGGCAAGCGAGAUAACUAUAGCUAAGGAACUCUGCAAAAUGACUCCGUAACUUCGGAAGAAGGAGUGCUCAACUUGAUUGAGCCGCAGUGAAGAGGGAGGGGCAACUGUUUAGCAAAAACACAGCUCUCUGCUAAGUCGCAAGACGAUGUAUAGGGGGUGACACCUGCCCAGUGCCGGAAGGUUAAAAGGAGAAGUCAGCGCAAGCGAAGCUUUGAAUUGAAGCCCCGGUGAACGGCGGCCGUAACUAUAACGGUCCUAAGGUAGCGAAAUUCCUUGUCAGGUAAGUUCUGACCCGCACGAAAGGUGUAAUGAUCCCUUCGCUGUCUCGGCUAUAGACUCGGUGAAAUUUUAGUACCGGUGAAGAUGCCGGUUACCCGCAACUAGACGGAAAGACCCCGUGGAGCUUUACUAUAACUUGAUAUUGAAAUUUGGUGUAACGUGUAGAGGAUAGGUGGGAGACUUUGAAGCAGGACCGCUAGGGCUUGUGGAGUCAUCCUUGGAAUACCACCCUCGUUACAUUGGAUUUCUAACUCUGACCCGUUAUCCGGGUUGAGGACAGUGUCUGGUGGGUAGUUUGACUGGGGCGGUCGCCUCCUAAAAUGUAACGGAGGCGCUCAAAGGUAUUCUCAGUAUGGUUGGAAAUCAUACAAAGAGCGCAAAGGUAGAAGAAUGCUUAACUGCGAGACUUACAAGUCGAACAGAUACGAAAGUAGGACUUAGUGAUCCGGCGGUCCCGAGUGGAAGGGCCGUCGCUCAACGGAUAAAAGUUACCCCGGGGAUAACAGGCUGAUCUCCCCCAAGAGUUCACAUCGACGGGGAGGUUUGGCACCUCGAUGUCGGCUCAUCGCAUCCUGGAGCUGAAGUCGGUUCCAAGGGUUGGGCUGUUCGCCCAUUAAAGCGGUACGCGAGCUGGGUUCAGAACGUCGUGAGACAGUUUGGUCCCUAUCUGUUGUGGGCGUAGGAAAAUUGAAGAGAGCUGACCCUAGUACGAGAGGACCGGGUUGGACGCAUCCCUGGUGCACCAGUUGUCUCGCCAGAGGCAUAGCUGGGUAGCUAUAUG